CGAGACUUCCGGUACCCGGCUCUCGCAAAAUGGCGGCUGCGGUGGGCGCCUUUCCAGUCUCGUUUUCGUCGUUUCCAAUUCAGGAGGAAGAUGCUGGUGGCCAUCUUGGGACAAUGAGAGGAGCUAGUCUUAGAAUGAUGCGGACACCAAGGAAGGCACAGCAGAGAAAAGGAAACAAAAGGUCCUUGAUGACAUACUGAGUUAUAGAAUCAAGCUUCACUUGAAGCCAUGAUUGCCUGAAGCCUGUGGUAUCUCAUUCAUGUGAGCCAAUCAAUUUUCUUUAUUGUUUAAGCAAGUUUGAAUUGGGUUUUCUGUUACCUACAAUCAAAUGUGUAGAAAAAAAUUCUAGAAGAAAAUGUUAACAGUAAAUAUCUCUGAGUGGUGAAAAUAG